rnacentral:pre_miRNA from 1 species
AAUAAACCAAUUUUUCACUUUUUACCUAUAAUUUUUGACUUUUCGUCUUAUUCAAUUUUUUUUGCGAUUGAUAUUUUUGUUUUUAUUAGAUGAUACAUCAUGAAUAGUACUUUACGUGUGACUAAUUUUCUAAAAAUUUUCAAAUAAGAUGGAUGAUCAAAUGUUGGACACAAAAAUCGGAG